AUUCCCACACGUUUGGAACAAACAAGGUUGUGAACAGUAAGAGUCUGCUACAUUUUAAGGUAGGUUUAUUUCUAAAAGACUCAUGUUCAUGUUUCAUGUUGACGCAACAGAACAACAAGUUUAAAUACAGUGUUUAUUGCAAUUUAUCCUUUUCAUGUCCUACAUACCGGAUGUAUUAAAAGCAUACAAUGUCAUACAUUAUUUGUACAGCAUAUAUGAAAAGUGUAUCCCAAAAUACUUUCCAGAGUAUCUGGAAUAAAUCACAAAAGAAUACUUAUCAUGGUACAAAUGUAGUCAUACAAUUGACUUGCAUUUAGUGUACUUGCUGGGACCUUCCUAUAUGGCUUUUAUUGCUGUUUACAGAAAUUUUACUAGUUUCUAACGUGAUAGUACUAAUUAACUGAGUCUCAAAUUGAGAAAAUUUAUACAGAAGUGUUACAGUCUUUUCAGUCAGGUUUGUUAUUAUUAUGCUAACGUACAUUACUGCUCAUUUGAGUGGAAAGCUCUACAUUUUCAUGUAACAUGAUAUAAACACAGUUCCCCUCCUGUUCUUCACAGUUACCAAACUUAGAUCAGUAGUCCAAUCACUUGAUAGUCAUCCAGCUCACUGUAUGUCAAAAUGCUCUUAAAAUACAGCUUUGACUUCACUCCUUUUUUGGUUUAGAAAAAAAUACUGUAUUUCAUCAAACAGUCAAGACAAAAUUUACACAGAACACCUUCACAGUAAAAACUUAAGGCCUUGCUGCAUUCCUUGUAAAGUCUUGAGCAGAUUAUCAUAAUGUUGCAAGUCUCAGAGUUAAAAAUAGCUUGCAGCAUUUUCAGGAGAGCCUCAGGAAUAUAUUAAAAGAAGAAUGAACUUCUUUUGAGUCUGUGUCAAAACAGCAUUUUGAUACUUACCCUGCCCUCUACUACCAUUCACUGAGCACCUCACAGUCAUCAGGUUGUUUUCUGACUUCUGGCCAAAAUCAGAGGGGUAAAGGAUUUUCACUUCUUUAAACUCGUCAGUUAAUGUCUGUUACAACAACAUGCAUUUCCUUUAUCUAAAACUACCACCUUCAUCCAUUCAUCUUAAGUUUGAAAGUAAUUUUCACAAGCCAUGAUUCAGAAUUCAAGUCCUGAAUUACAGAGGGACUGUUUGGGCACAGAAAUGCUAAAAAACAUUCUGUAAGACGUAAAGUUGCAUCCCUAAUGGACAUUAAUAUACCUGUUGGGAUUAGUUUUAGUGUCCUUCUCUUCAAAAACAGAUACUGUCCAAAUAUUUGCUGUUAUCAGCCACUAGAUGGAGAUAAGAUUUCACAGGUAUAAAGUUUAUCCCUAAAAUCAGAGUUAUUACUCAUCUUGUGCAUUCAAUAUGAGGUCAACAUUAUUAUUUUUAAAUACAACUUUAGUAAGUGUAAUUGAUUUGAAUAGACAGGACUGAAUUGCAUUAGGCUGGAGAUAAAAGCAAUCCCUUUCUGAAGCUCUGUGGCAAGGUGAGCACCUCCUGGGAUUGACACUGCAUGCAAGAACAAUAUUGAUCAUACAGAAUCUAAGUUGUUUUCUGUUGCAGGUACUGCAAUUAGAAGAAAAAAAAAGGUCCUUCAUUCAUGUUAACAGAAUUAAAAUAUUAUAUUCCUACUUCAUUUUAAAUUCACAAAGAGUGGAAGAUCAAAACAAGAUGUAGAUAAUACCCUAAAUAUAUAUUUAAAUUAGUUCAGAACUAGAUACAGUCACUCCUGCUGCUACUUUGAAGCCAAAGAUAAGAUUUUAAGUGGUUUGGAUAAAAAAAAAAUAGUACUCAAAACCUCAAAUCCUGAUUCAGGAUUGCUGUUGCUGUUGGAAUUGCAAGGACUGCUGCAGGUUGCAGUAGGCAAACUUUUGUUUAAUGAAAACUCCUUCCUUGAAUGGAAAAGUAAAUAAAUAAAGUGUCAGGGAUUUUCCUACACAAUUGCUACUGAAUGUGUCACCCAUGGUCACUCUGUCCCAUGACUGAGGAAGUGCAAACCAGUGCCUCAGUCCAACAAAGCAAAUUCUAUUAUAAUCUGCUCUAUCCCUUACUGUUUUGAGCAGCAAACACAAUAUUCAUCUGCCAUGUGCUGAGGGAACUGUUUUAAACAGCCCAGUUCAUCUCUCCCUCCCAGACAAAGAGUGCUGGGUACAAAAGAGCUGCUCCAGGUGAAGAGAGCCCUCAAGUGCCCCAGGUCUCAGGGACAGGGGUGAGCCACCCUCAGUCUGGGCAGAUUCAGAGCUUCCACACAAAUUCCCUCUGCCAGCACAGCUUCAGGUGCUGCUCCAGUAGUACUGACAACAGAAUAUAUUAGAGCUUCAUUACUCAAACAGAAUUACAACA